AGACCCGAAACCCGGUGAUCUAGCCAUGGGCAGGUUGAAGGUUGGGUAACACUAACUGGAGGACCGAACCGACUAAUGUUGAAAAAUUAGCGGAUGACCUGUGGCUGGGGGUGAAAGGCCAAUCAAACCGGGAGAUAGCUGGUUCUCCCCGAAAGCUAUUUAGGUAGCGCCUCGUGAAUUCAUCUCCGGGGGUAGAGCACUGUUUCGGCUAGGGGGCCAUCCCGGCUUACCAACCCGAUGCAAACUGCGAAUACCGGAGAAUGUUAUCACGGGAGACACACGGCGGGUGCUAACGUCCGUCGUGAAGAGGGAAACAACCCAGACCGCCAGCUAAGGUCCCAAAGUCAUGGUUAAGUGGGAAACGAUGUGGGAAGGCCCAGACAGCCAGGAUGUUGGCUUAGAAGCAGCCAUCAUUUAAAGAAAGCGUAAUAGCUCACUGGUCGAGUCGGCCUGCGCGGAAGAUGUAACGGGGCUAAACCAUGCACCGAAGCUGCGGCAGCGAACGUAUCACUUAAAGCGAUUCAGCGGGUUACGAUUGACGGAGCGAAGCGACGUCAAAGCGUAUACAAAGUCGAGUCGGUUUAAGGAUACGUUCGUUGGGUAGGGGAGCGUUCUGUAAGCCUGUGAAGGUGGCCUGUGAGGGUUGCUGGAGGUAUCAGAAGUGCGAAUGCUGACAUAAGUAACGAUAAAGCGG
rnacentral:rRNA from 1 species